ensembl:lncRNA
GGUUCUGGCGUGGCUGGCAGGUGAUUCGAGAGUGUCCAUCAAGUGGUUCUGACAUAGCCUGCCUGUGGUUCCGGCAUGCUCAGCAGGUGGUUCAGGCAUGUCCAGCAGGUGGUCCUGGCAUUUCUGAGAAGUGGUUCCGGCAUUCCCAGCAGUUGAUUCUGGAGUGUCCGCCAAGUGGUUCUGGCAUAGCCAGCAGGUGAUUUUGGCAUGUCCUGCAGGUGGUUCCAGAGAGUCGAGGAGGUGGUUACGGCGUGCUCGGCAGGUGGUUCAGGCGUGUCCAGCAGACGGUUCCGGCGAGUCGAGCAGGUGGUUCUGGAGUGCUCGGCAGAGGGUUCCGGACUCUCUGGGAGGUGGUUCCUGUGUGUCUGGCACAUGGUUCUGGCAUGUCUUAUAUGUAGUUCUGACACGCCUGGCAGGUGAUUCCAGAGUGUCCACCAAGUGGUUCUGGCGUAGCCGGCAGGUGAUUUUGGCAUGUCUGGCAGGUGGUUCCAGCAAGUCGAGCAGGUGGUUCCGGCCUGCUCGCCAGUUGCUUCCAGCGUCUCUGGCAUGUGUUUCUGGCACGUCUGAGAGGUGGUUCCGGCAUGCACGGCAGGUGAUCCUGGACUGUCUGCCACGUGGUUCUGGCACAUCUGAGAUGUGGUUCCGGCAUGCACGGCAGGUGAUCCCGGAGAGUCCUCCAAGUGGUUCUGGCUUAGCCGGCAGUUGAUUUUGGCGUGGCCAGCAGGUGGUUCCAGCAUAUCAAGCAGGUGGUUCCGGCGAGCUCAGCAGGUGCUUCCAGUGUCUCCGGCACAUGGUUCUGGCAUACCCAGCAGGUGAUUUUGGCGUGACCGACAGGUGAGUCCUGUGAGUUGUGCAGCUGGUUCCGGCGUGUCCGGCAUGUGGUUCCGGUCUGUCCUGGAGGUGGUUCUGGUGGGUCUGGCACGUGGUCCGGCACUUCUGAGAGGUGGUUGUGGCAUGCCCAGCAGGUGGUUCCAGAGGGUCCGACAAGUGGUUCUGGCAUAGCCGGCAGGUGAUUUUGGCAUGUCCGGCAGGUAGUUCCGGCGAGUCAAGCAGGUGGUUCAGGCGUGCUCGGCAGGUGGUUCAGGAGGGUCUGGCAGGUGGUUCCGGUCUGUCUCGGAGGUGGUUCCGGCGUGUCCGGCACAUGCUUCUGGCAGUCUGAGAGGUGGUUCCAGCAUGCCUGGCGGGUGAUUCCAUAGAGUCCACCACCUGCUUCUGGCCUAGCCGGCAGGUGAUUUUGGAGUCUCAAGUAGGUGGUUCUGGUGAGUCGAGCAGGAGGUUCCGGCGUGCUCAGCAGGUGCAUCCGGUGUCUCUGGCGCGUGGUUCUGGCACGUCUGAGAGGUGGUUCGGGCAUGCCCGCCAGGUGAUCCCGGAGAGUCCGACAAGUGGUUCUGGCAUAGUCGGCAGGUGAUUUUGGCAUGUCAGAUAGGUGGUUCUGGUGGGUCGAGCAGGUGGUUCUGCUGUGCUUGGCAGUUGGUUCAGGAGGGUCCAGCAGGUUGUUCUGGUCUGUCCGGUAGUGGGUUCCGGCGUUGCCGCACGUGGUUCCGGUACGUCUGAGAGGUGGUUCCCACAUGCCCAGCAGGCGAUUCCGGACUGUCCACCACGUGGUUCUGGCACAUCUGAGAGGUGGUACCGGCAUGCCUGGCGGGUCAUCCCGGAGAGUCCUCCAAGUGGUUCUGGCCUAGCCUGCAGGGGAUUUUGCGUGUCCGGCAUGUGGUUCCGGCACGUCUGACAGGUGGUUCUGGCAUGUUCGGCAGGUGAUUCCGGAUUGUCCACCAAGUGGUUCUGGUAUAGCCGGCAGGUGAUUUUGUCGUGUCCAGCAGGUGGUUCCGGGGAGUGGAUCAGGUGGUUCCAGCAUUCUCGGC